rnacentral:rRNA from 1 species
GACGAACGCUGGCGGCGUGCUUAACACAUGCAAGUCGAGCGGGGCGGCGAACGGGUGAGUAACGCGUGAGUAACUGCCCCCCUCUCUGGGAUAACAGUUGGAAACGGCUGCUAAUCCCGGUUAGUGGGGGAUGACUCGCUUCCUAUAAGCUUGUUUGUGGGGUAGUGGCCUACAAAGGCGACGACGGGUGGCCGGCCUGAGAGGGCGACCGGCCACAUUGGGCUGAGAUCCGUCCCAAACUACUACGGGAGGCAGCAUUGGGGAAGAUUGCACGAUGGUGGAAACCCUGAUGCAGCAACGCGCGUGCGGGAUGACGGCCUGCGGGUUGUAACCCGCUGUCAGCCAGGCCGCGUUAGUGGCAGAAGAAGCACCGGCUAACUACGUGACAGCAGCCGCGGUAAUUC